UGAAAAUUCGUGGAAGUAUUUCAAAAGCGCCCUGUACAGAUUAUAUGUCAAAUCAUGGCUUCUCCACCUGUUUCCAUGUUGUCUGCUGUUGGAAGAACAUCUAUGAGGGACUGUGAAUAGAAUCUUUAUCUUCUGCUUAUAUACAACACUUACUCAUGGGCCAGUGGCACAAUUUCUAGCUGUACAAGGAUAUCAUGGUGUUUGAUAAGUUGAUGACAAUGAAACUAAUGACCAUGUUAACAUCAGAGGAAAAGCAAACUGGGAGAAGAAAGGACAACAUUGUUUUCGAUCUUGAAGGCCUGCGUAGACAUAGGACCAGGAAGGGGAGCUAGGAGUGGGAGAAGUGCCUUUGACUGAUAUAUGCACUAUCAGAUAGAAAUCCAGUUCAAAAGGAAAUCUGAAAUAGUAGAAAUCAUGUUUUACAUACUGUAUAAUCUGCUCUAAAACACAAACAUUUGAAUUUAAAAUGUGUUAAAUGCAAAACAGUUCUACUUACAAAAUGAAUCUUUCAGUAAAUUCUAAAUGCAGCUGAAAAGUGAUAUACAUGAAAUGUGUGAAAACAGUGCAAGUUAAGUUUGAUUUUUUGUUGUAUACAAAACUGAAGAACUUGUAUCCAAUACAUUUUCUGGAUGCACA